GACGAACGCUGGCGGCGUGCUUAACACAUGCAAGUGGUGCGACGAACCAGGCUUCGGCCUGGGGCGAAGCCGCGAACGGGUGAGUAACACGUGGGCAAUCUGCCCCUUUGAUCGGGACAACCCGGGGAAACCCGGGCUAAUACCGAAUGAGGUGGCGACUCAUGAGAGUCGUCACGAAAGGAAGCUUCGGCCUCCGCGAAGGGAUGAGCCCGCGGCCCAUUAGCUUGUUGGUGGGGUAAUGGCCUACCAAGGCAACGAUGGGUAGCUGGGCUGAGAGGACGAGCAGCCACACUGGGACUGAGACACGGCCCAGGCUCCUACGGGAGGCUGCAGUGGGGAAUCUUGCGCAAUGAGCGACAGCUUGACGCAGCAACGCCGCGUGAGGGAAGAAGGCUUUCGGGUCGUAAACCUCUUUCAGUUAGGACGAAGCUUUAUUGGUUAAUAACCAAUUGGAGUGACGGUACUUUCAGAAGAAGCCCCGGCUAACUACGUGCCAGCAGCCGCGGUAA
rnacentral:rRNA from 1 species